UACGAGGGGGAGCAAGCGUUGUUCGGAUUUACUGGGCGUAAAGGGCGCGUAGGCGGUCGUGACAAGUCACUUGUGAAAUCUCCGGGCUUAACUCGGAACGGUCAAGUGAUACUGUCGGACUAGAGUACAGAAGGGGCAACUGGAAUUCUCGGUGUAGCGGUGAAAUGCGUAGAUAUCGCUUGGAACGCCGACGGGUGAAAACAGCUCGCUGGGGACUC
rnacentral:rRNA from 1 species